GACGAACGCUGGCGGCGUGCUUAACACAUGCAAGUCGAACGGUAAGGCCCUUCGGGUACGACGAGUGGCGAACGGGUGAGUAACACGUGGGUGAUCUGCCCUGCACUUCGGGAUAAGCUUGGGAAACUGGGUCUAAUACCGGAUAGGACCACGGUCUGCAUGGAUUGUGGUGGAAAGCUUUUGCGGUGUGGGAUGGGCCCGCGGCCUAUCAGCCUGUUGGUGGGGUGAUGGCCUACCAAGGCGACGACGGGUAGCCGGCCUGAGAGGGUGUCCGGCCACACUGGGACUGAGAUACGGCCCAGACUCCUACGGGAGGCAGCAGUGGGGAAUAUUGCACAAUGGGCGCAAGCCUGAUGCAGCGACGCCGCGU
rnacentral:rRNA from 1 species